rnacentral:rRNA from 1 species
UGCUAUCAGGCGUCGAGCGGCGGACGGGUGAGUAAUACUUAGGAAUCUACCUAGUAGUGGGGGAUAGCACGGGGAAACUCGUAUUAAUACCGCAUACGACCUACGGGAGAAAGGGGGCAGUUUACUGCUCUCGCUAUUAGAUGAGCCUAAGUCGGAUUAGCUAGAUGGUGGGGUAAAGGCCUACCAUGGCGACGAUCUGUAGCUGGUCUGAGAGGAUGAUCAGCCACACCGGGACUGAGACACGGCCCGGACUCCUACGGGAGGCAGCAGUGGGGAAUAUUGGACAAUGGGGGAAACCCUGAUCCAGCCAUGCCGCGUGUGUGAAGAAGGCCUUUUGGUUGUAAAGCACUUUAAGCAGUGAAGAAGACUCUUCGGUUAAUACCCGGAGACGAUGACAUUAGCUG